UACGUAGGGGCAAGCGUUAUCCGGAUUUACUGGGUGUAAAGGGAGCGCAGACGGCAGUGCAAGUCUGAUGUGAAAGCCCGGGGCUCAACCCCGGAACUACAUUGGAAACUGUACAGCUUGAGUGUCGGAGGGGUAAGCGGAAUUCCUAGUGUAGCGGUGAAAUGCGUAGAUAUUAGGAGGAACACCGGUGGCGAAGGCGGCUUACUGGACGAUCACUGACGUUGAGGCUCGAAAGCGUGGGGAGCAAACAGGAUUAGAUACCCGCGUAGUCCCUGAG
rnacentral:rRNA from 1 species